UACGUAGGGUGCGAGCGUUAAUCGGAAUUACUGGGCGUAAAGCGCGCGUAGGUGGUUCGUUAAGUUGGAUGUGAAAUCCCCGGGCUCAACCUGGGAACUGCAUUCAAAACUGACGAGCUAGAGUAUGGUAGAGGGUGGUGGAAUUUCCUGUGUAGCGGUGAAAUGCGUAGAUAUAGGAAGGAACACCAGUGGCGAAGGCGACCGCCUGGACUGAUACUGACACUGAGGUGCGAAAGCGUGGGGAGCAAACAGG
rnacentral:rRNA from 1 species